rnacentral:rRNA from 1 species
AUUGACCGCUGGCGGCAGGCCUAACACAUGCAAGUCGAGCGGAGCGGCGGACGGGUGAGUAAUGCCUAGGAAUCUGCCUGGUAGUGGGGGAUAACGUCCGGAAACGGGCGCUAAUACCGCAUACUAUCAGAUGAGCCUAGGUCGGCUUAGCUAGUUGGUGGGGUAAAGGCCUACCAAGGCGACGAUCCGUCACUGGUCUGAGAGGAUGAUCACUCACAAUGGAAGUGAGAGACCGUACCGCCGUCGUCGGGAGGCAGCAGUGGGGAAUAUUAGAGAAUGGGCGAAAGCCUGAUCCAGCCAUGCCGCGGGUGUGAAGAAAUUGUGCGGAUUGUAAAACACUAUAAGUUGGUAGGCGUUAGCAACAGAAUAAACAACGGCUCACUUCGUACCAGCAGCCGCGGUAAUAC